rnacentral:rRNA from 1 species
GAUGAACGCUAGCGGGAGGCCUAACACAUGCAAGCCGAGCGGUAUUGUUUCUUCGGAAAUGAGAGAGCGGCGUACGGGUGCGUAACACGUGUGCAACCUGCCUUUAUCUGGGGGAUAGCCUUUCGAAAGGAAGAUUAAUACUCCAUAAUAUAUUGAACGGCAUCGUUUAAUAUUGAAAGCUCCGGCGGAUAGAGAUGGGCACGCGCAAGAUUAGCUAGUUGGUGAGGUAACGGCUCACCAAGGCGAUGAUCUUUAGGGGGCCUGAGAGGGUGAUCCCACACUCUGGUACUGAGACACGGACCAGACUCCUACGGGAGGCAGCAGUGAGGAAUAUUGGUCAAUGGGUGCAAGCCUGAACCAGCCAUCCCGCGUGAAGGACGACUGCCCUAUGGGUUGUAAACUUCUUUUGUAUAGGGGUAAACCUACCCUCGUGAGGGUAGCUGAAGGUACUAUACGAAUAAGCACCGGCUAACUCCGUGCCAGCAGCCGCGGUAACAC